CUGGGAAGAGAAAGGCUGAGUCAGGCAGACAGCCCACCGUCUAGGGAGCAGCAUGUAAUGGCACACAGGAAUGAAACAGCACUCUGAAAUGAUCAGUCUGCUAAAGCUGGUAGAGCAAUAUGGAGAACAAACCCCAAUGUGGUAAUAUCCAAUGGUGCUGAAUAAACUAAGAAAAUUCAUCUUCUGCCUGCAGAAGAGAAAGCCAAUCUACUGUGACCUUUUCAGUAUUCUGUAAUUUGAUUCCUUUCCAUGACACCUCUCCAAAUUUACCAUGCCUGAACCUGUGAUUGGAACAGCCAGUCAAGAUAGAGAACACUGAAAAGGCAAAGGAAGAUGAAUCUGUAUGAGUUGGAUACCACCCUGGGCAAGGAAGAAAGAAAGGAAGGAAGGAAGGAAGGAAGGAAGGAAGGAAGGAAGGAAGGAAGAAAAGAAGGAAGGAAAGAAAGAAGACUCCAAAUACCCUAUUAAUUGAAACAAAUACUAUUUAAUUUGUCUGUUGAUCAACAAUUAUCAUGCUUUAGAAAUAUGCAGCAGUGACAACAUCUAUCUGCAUGUCAUAGUAAUUUGUUAACUGACCAAAAUACUAAGGAAGUAAAUUUCACUUGUUGGCCACAAGCUUAAUAGAGAACCGUUACUCCAUAGUUGAGUCUAAUGCUCUAAAGUUGUAACACUGAACAGUCAGGUCUUUUUAAUUUGAAUAUUUUGGAUCUAAAUUUGUCCCACUGGUGCAUUGUUGUUUCAAUCUAAUGUAUUUAGAUGAUAUGAUUUGUUUUCUUUUUUCUCUGUUUUAUAAAGGAGUGAACAACAGUGUAAUUUACAUAAAAUAUUACAAACAGAUCAGUUAUGGUGCUUUCUCUUUUAACAGAGAAUAUUAUAAUUUUACUGGGAUUAACAAGGUUAUAGUGAUAAAAAAAAUCUGAAAAUAUCGUUCUUAUAUCUAUUGUCUAUCUGUUCAUCUCCUUAAUCUUUUCAUAUUUGUAAACAAAUGACUUCUUAUAUACACACUUAUACAUAAAUAUGCUUUGCAUAUUCAUUUAAUAAAAUAAAGUCAAUAAUAUCUUCAUGGACAUCAUAUCCUCAAACCUGCCUAGCAAUAAGAUAAGAGUACUCCCCAAACAACACAGUCCUCAAACACCUGCAGUCUGUUGCUCCUGAGUUGUGAUCAGUAUCCCUUUCACUUGGGUGUGCUCCAUAAAACAGCAACAACAACCAAUUAACCCAGUGCAGCUUUGAAUUUCCAUAGGAGCAAUCACAGCUGGCCAAAACAUUUUACCCAGUAUUGUUUUUAUGUUUCUCUUAUGUUUCGUUUGACC